rnacentral:rRNA from 1 species
UACGGAGGGUGCGAGCGUUGUCCGGAAUCAUUGGGCGUAAAGGGCGCGUAGGUGGCGGGACAAGCGUGCGGUGAAAGCCUGGGGCUCAACCCCGGGUCGGCCGUGCGAACUGUUUUGCUUGAGCACUGUAGAGGCAGGCGGAAUUCCGGGUGUAGCGGUGGAAUGCGUAGAGAUCCGGAAGAACACCGGUGGCGAAGGCGGCCUGCUGGGCAGUAGCUGACACUGAGGCGCGGCAGCGUGGGGAGCAAACAGG